UACGUAGGGGGCGAGCGUUAUCCGGAAUUACUGGGCGUAAAGCGCACGCAGGCGGUUCGCCAAGUUUGGAGUGACAGUUGUCGGCUCAACCGGCAAAGGACUUCAAAAACUGGUGAACUUGAGGACGAGAGAGGAACAUGGAACUCCAGGUGUAGUAGUGAAAUGCGUAGAUAUCAAGUGGAACACCAGUGGCGAAGGCGAGUCGCUGGACAUUUCCUGACGCUGAGGCACGAAAGCCAGGGGAGCAAACGGG
rnacentral:rRNA from 1 species